rnacentral:lncRNA from 1 species
UGCUUGGGAUGGGCAUGGAGAAGUUUUUGGUGCCUAUGGGUGUCUUACUGGGCCCAGUCGUGCCUAGGGUUGUUAAUAUAACUUGGCUGUACUAGAUUCCUAUAUAUUGUAACAGGAAGUGCAUCGAACAGCAGACAUUUUAAAGGGACUAAGCACGAAGCCAGAGCUGCUCAUUCAGUAACAGGUGACGGAAGCUGCUCUGUGCUGCGUGUCAGCCUAUAUUAAAAUGUUCUGUUGAGCUAGGAGGAAACUCGGGAGGCCCUGGAUUUGAUUUUUCAGGCACAUCAGAAGAAAGGUUUUCUCCUGCCACAAUGCUGCAGAAACAGAAUCUGGAAUAUCUUGCUUGUUGAGAAGAGUUUGGAAGAGAGCAUUGACGAACCCCAUUGUUAGCAUCUUGUGGGUUACAUUUGGAUCUGUCCUUCCUCAACGUGACUGAAACACUGGAGUUGAUGGCUUCUCUCUGGGUUGGCCUUCUGUCCUCAUUCCUUUGCAUGUGGCUCAAGUUUCUCAACUUUGAGAGACUUCGUAAACUUGUACAGAAAAUGCUGCUUAAAAUAUUCUGAAGACCGGGCUGGGGAUUUAGCUCAGUGGUAGAGCGCUUACCUAGGAAGCGCAAGGCCCUGGGUUCGGUCCCCAGCUCCGAAAAAAAAAAAAAGAAACAAACAAAAAUAUUCUGAAGAAAAGGCAACGCUGUCGUAAAUCCAUGUCUAAGCCACAGUCCACUUGUAAGGUACUCUUGGACUUUGUAAACAAAUUUCAUGUUUAAAUGUUCCCUCAAAUGUUCUUGUACAUUUUCAUCAGCACAGAUGAGACAUCUCAAGCCAGCCCACAGCAGAAGCAAUGAUCCCACUCUUAAGUUUGGUUUCUGAGAAAAAGGGUAGAGGGCUGUGUUGGGGAGGUCACGUGUGGUGGGUGUUUGGAUGGCCUGCCUGCCUUGGAGUGAUGACAUUGUGUGAUGGGUUUCAGGUGAGUAGAGACCACAGGACUGUUGUAUUUAUAGAAACACAGAAAUGUAAGUUACCUUCAACACUUGCCUCCCAAUGUGAGGCAGACCAAUCAAUGUAUUAGUCCCUGGCAAGCUUCACGCUAGAAGUAGAACAUUGUUGAGCUGCCCCGCCAGUGCUUUCUCAUUGUCUUGGCUCCGCUGUGAGCACGCACAAAAGACUGGACAUACGGUCUGACAGCAAAUGACAGCAGAAGUUUGCAUCUAAUUUUAGUCUACAUCAUAACCAUGUGUAUUCAUUAUACUUGAAAUUGUUAUGGGAUGAGGGCCUAUGCAGACUCUUAAGUGCUCUAAGGCAAAGACCAUGAGUGAAGCAUACUGGGGAAGUGAAGAGAUGGUGGCAAAGGAAGACCAGUCACAAUCCUUGCAAGGCAUCCUAAGCUCUCAGGAGACAGUGCCAGUCAGGGCGAGUGUCACGGAUGAAAUCUUGAGUUUAUUUAUCCAGGUGGCAUUCAGUCCUAUUAACUUCCUUUUUCAGCCUCCAUAAUAUCUCAUACAAUGUAACUACUGUUGAUUAAAAUUUAAUAGGGACCCAUGCA